GACGAACGCUGGCGGCGUGCCUAACACAUGCAAGCUGAGCGACGAACCAGGGCUUGCCCUGGGGCAAAGCAGCGAACGGGUGAGUAACACGUGGGUAACCUACCCCGAUAACCGGGACAACCCGAGGAAACUCGGGCUAAUACCGGAUGUGCUCACUGGACUUCGGUUCAGUGCGUAAAGGAAGCUUCGGCCUCCGUAUCGGGAGGGGCCCGCGGCCCAUUAGUUUGUUGGUGAGGUAACGGCUCACCAAGACCGCGAUGGGUAGCUGGUCUGAGAGGACGAUCAGCCACACUGGGACUGAGACACGGCCCAGACUCCUACGGGAGGCAGCAGUGGGGAAUCUUGCGCAAUGCGCGAAAGCGUGACGCAGCAACGCCGCGUGGGGGAAGAAGGCCUUCGGGUUGUAAACCCCUUUCAGGAGGGACGAAGGUUCGGCGGUGAAUAGCCGUCCGGACUGACGGUACCUCCACAAGAAGCCCCGGCUAACUACGUG
rnacentral:rRNA from 1 species